AUUCACAUGAAACUUUCUCAUGGAAAAAAGAAGAAAGAAAGGAAAGCUAUAUCAUUAAUCUGAAGUCUGAACCUGAAAUGCUUCAACUUGGCCCCGGCCUUGGUUGGAUCAUUGUAUAUACUUGGGAAUCUCACCCUUUCUGAGGAGACCCAAAGCGUAUUCAGCAGUGUCAGUGAGAUCCUUGAUAUUGUGGACAGACUUCUCCUCGGAUCCCAGCAAGAAGAUGGCACGAACUUCAGCCUUCUUAGCCAAUCUUGCUGCUAAAUUAAGGGGUAAACUUGGAGAGUUGAGACUGCGUAAUAGUUGG
rnacentral:lncRNA from 1 species